rnacentral:lncRNA from 1 species
GUUUCUUUAAAAGCUUUAUAGAAUAAGUGCUAUGUAAAUUUGAGUUAUUAUUGUUGUGGUCAUUAAUAUACGGAAAUCCUUUAAGAAGCAAAUAUCAUUUUUAUAACAUGUUUUAUUUAUUUAUUUGUUUUUGGUAGCCUCCAUACAGAGUCAUGCAAAGAGGUUCAGAGAAGAACACAGAAAGUGGCCACCAUCAGGAUGAAGAACCCAACAAGUCAGACUGACAUUAAAUAAUCCAUCUUAAAGUUCAUAUGGAACUUCAAGGGACUUCAAAUAGCCAAAACAAUACUGAAAAAGAACAAAGUUGGAGGAUUCAUACUUCCUGAUUUCAAAACUUCCUAUAAACUAUGGUGAUCAAAAUAGUAAGUAGCUAGCAUAAAGGCAGACAUGUAUGUCAAUGGAAUGAUAAAAGACCUCAGAAACAACCCCUCAUAUAUGAUCAAAUGAUUUUUUAC